GACGAACCGUACGAACGUUAUUCGGAAUCACUGGGCUUAAAGGGUGCGUAGGCUGCGCGGAAAGUUGGGUGUGAAAUCCCUCGGCUCAACCGAGGAACUGCGCCCAAAACUGCCGUGCUCGAGGGAGACAGAGGUGAGCGGAACUUAGGGUGACGCGGUGAAAUGCGUUGAUAUCCUAAGGAACACCGGUGGCGAAAGCGGCUCACUGGGUCUCUUCUGACGCUGAGGCACGAAAGCGAGUGGG
rnacentral:rRNA from 1 species